CCCUGCACGACCCUCUUGCGCACCCUAACUUAUCUACCAUGAUAUAAUGCUCGAUAUGGGGUUGUUUGGUC